rnacentral:tRNA from 2 species
GCCGAGGUGGUGGAAUCGGUAGACACGCGGUCUUGAGGGGGCCGUGGGCGUCAGCCCGUAGGAGUUCAAAUCUCCUCCUCGGCACCA